GGGGGCAAGCGUUGUUCGGAAUUACUGGGCGUAAAGGGCUCGUAGGCGGCCAACUAAGUCACACGUGAAAUCCCCAGGCUCAACCUGGGAACUGCGUGUGAUACUGGAUGGCUUGAAUUCGGGAGAGGGAUGCAGAAUUCCAGGUGUAGCGGUGAAAUGCGUAGAUAUCUGGAGGAAUACCGGUGGCGAAGGCGGCAUCCUGGACCGACAUUGACGCUGAGGAGCGAAAGCUAGGGGAGCAAACGGG
rnacentral:rRNA from 1 species